GAGCUCAAACCAUUCGUAAUGUGAAUAAAAUAAAACCCUAAAUUGAAGAUUUGACUGUUGAUGAAAAGUCAAACUCAAGAAUGACAUUGUAAGGGGUAAUAAAAGUCAAAGUCGAAGGAAAUGGAGUAACAAUUAAAAUACUUGGGCGCUUUCUUGUUCCUUGGAGAAUUGGGCGUCCCAAAAUCCAACUCUCACUCUUUGAUUUCUUAAAAAGAUAGUCAGAUCCUACCCAAAUAAAUAAAUAAUUAAUUAAUUUUUUUGUAAAAAAGAAACUGUCAGAUUUUUUUCCCAUAUCUCAAACGAAAAUCCACAGAGGAUAAAAAGUUGGAAGGCUUGAAUGGGACGAAAGCGGUAGAAGACAUGGCCCCGCAAUUGAUUUGUGUAAUGAACUUGAGUUGAUUUUUGGUGAUGACAGGACUUGCAUCAUGUUGAUACAAAUUUUAAUUUUAUAACAAAAUGUUAUUUUACAAAGUUGAAUUAUUAUUUUGCAUUGUGGCAUCUACUUGAAAAGUAUUGAUUUGGGUUUUGAUUGAGAUGAUGAUGGUGUUUGAUU